ACGGAAGGCAGCAGUGAGGAAUAUUGGUCAAUGGACGCAAGUCCGAACCAGCCAUGCCGCGUGCAGGAAUAAGGCCCUAUGGGUCGUAAACUGCUUUUGUGGUGGAGCAAUAAGUCGUACGUGUACGGCGAUGAGAGUACAUCACGAAUAAGCAUCGGCUAACUCCGUGCCAGCAGCCGCGGUAAUACGGAGGAUGCAAGCGUUAUCCGGAUUUAUUGGGUUUAAAGGGUGCGUAGGCUGUGGUCCAAGUCAGGGGUGAAAGCCCGGAGCUCAACUCCGGAACUGCCUUUGAUACUGGAUUGCUGGAAUACGGAUGCCGUGGGAGGAAUGAGUAGUGUAGCGGUGAAAUGCAUAGAUAUUACUCAGAACACCGAUUGCGAAGGCAUCUCACGAAUCCGUCAUUGACGCUGAGGCACGAAAGCGUGGGGAUCAAACAGGAUUAGAUACCCUGGUA
rnacentral:rRNA from 1 species